rnacentral:lncRNA from 1 species
AGGUAAAGGGACCCCUGACCAUUAUGUCCAGUCAUGACUGACUCUGAGAUUGCGGUGCUCAUCUUGCUUUAUUGGCCGAGGGAGCUGGCGUACAGCUUCCGGGUCAUGUGGCCAGCAUGACUAAGCCGCUUCUGGCGAACCAGAGCAGCGAACGGAAAUGCCGUUUACCUUCCCGCCGGAGCGGUACCUAUUUAUCUACUUGUACUUUGACGUGCUUUUGAACUGCUAGGUGGGCAGGAGCAGGGACUGAGCAACGGGAGCUCACCCCGUCACAGGGAUUCGAACCACCGACCUUCUGGUCGGCAAGCCCUAGGCUCUGUGGUUUAACCCACAGAGCCACCCACGUCCCGGUAUAUCCACAUUUAAAUCAACUGAGCAAGCAAGUCCCACCCCCUCCACCGCCCAUGGCUGCGUUUGACCACAAUCUCACCAGCUCUCUUUUUCAUUUUUGUUUACAAGCUAAUGUUUAGGCCAAAGGUUGGCCCGCGCUGCAUUUCCCUCCACGAAAUGCAAACUUGCAGUUCAAAAGGGUGACUCGGCAGACAAACAGAUCGACCCAAAGAGCACGCAGCACAGACUUUCUGGACGGAAGCCCAGAACUUGUCUAUGAUUUCAUGUCAAAUGUCUCUAGCCUUUCCCUCCUACUACUCCACUGUUGGCUAAUGGACAACAGUUUUGCCUGCAGAACUGAGCAAACUCAAAGCUUGUAGGCUUCCAACAGCAGGAGAGGUGUUGGACAUGAAUGUAGUCUUAGAAGUAGCCCUGAGAUUUUCACAGAAUCAUGGAAUCAGAGUAGGCCUUGAAGUAGCCUUGAAGUCUACUCUACUGCGCCAGAGGGAGGGAGUAUGGAGUUAGUGUCGUCCCCCCCAACAGAUGGCUUUCCAGUCUUGGCUUGAUAUCACCAACCCAUCCCUUCCAGGUAACUGGUUCCUUGGAUGAACUACUCUUUGAUGAAUUGUUACAUCCCCCCCCCAUCCCUCCUGUACUUAAAGCAUUACAGAAAUAAGAACUUAUAUUUUGUGACUACAGAUAGUAAUUGGCUUUAUUUCAUUUUUACCCCACCCUUCGUUCAAGGGACUCGGAAGAGAAGCAUACAUGAUUGUCACACCCCCAAUUAUCCCCAUAAGAAUCCAGUUAGAUUGUAAAAAAAGAAAAGAAGCAUUUUUGUUAGGGAUUGCAGAACAAGACCUGCCAAGAAAAACAAAGAAUCUAUUUAUGUAUGCUACAAUAGCGGCAAGAAUCUUGAUAUCACAAGGAUGGAAGAAUGAGGAAAUCCCAACGAAAGAACAGUGGCAAGAAAAAUUGAUGAGCUAUGCAGAGUUGGCUAAAUUGACAUACAAACUGCGUGAUAAGGACAACUGUGACUUUAAGGAAGAAUGGGAACUUUUUACAAAUUAUCUGAAAAGACAACAAAAUGAACUGGACUCCUUGGCAGGUUUUGAAGAAACAUACACAAAUUUAUGUGUAUUUAUGAUAGACAACGCAAGGAUAUAUAUAUAUAAUUUUAUAACAUGCAGAGAAUAAUAUGUGAAGAGAAAUCAGAGAGAGGAG